GGUAAUAUGUCUCUAUACCCGACACACAGCCCACUAUAACCCAUGGUAAUAUGUCUCUAUACCUAAGACACAGCUCACUAUAACCCAUGGUAAUAUGUCUCUACACCUAACACACAGCCCACUAUAACCCAUGGUAAUAUGUCUCUAUACCUAACACACAGCCCACUAUAACCCAUGGUAAUAUGUCUUUAUACCCGACACACAGCCCACUAUAACCCAUGGUAAUAUGUCUCAAUAAUUAACACACAGCCCACUAUAACCCAUGGUAUAUGUCACUAUACCUAACACACAGCCCACUAUAACCCAUGGUAAUAUGUCUCUAUACCCAAUACACAGCCCACUAUAACCCAUGGUAAUAUGUCACUAUACCCAACACACAGCCCACUAUAACCCAUGGUAAUAUGUCUCUAUACCCAACACACAGCCCACUAUAACCCAUGGUAAUACGUCUCUAUACCCGACACACAGCCCACUAUAACCCAUGGUAAUAUGUCUCUAUACCCAACACACAGCCUACUAUAACCCAUGGUAAUAUGUCUCUAUACCUAACACACAGCCCACUAUAACCCAUGUUAAUAUGUCUCUAUACCCGAUACAAAGCCCACUAUAACCCAUGUUAAUAUGUCUCUAUACACAACACAAAGCCCACUAUAACCCAAUGUAAUAUGUCUCUAUACCUGACACACAGCCCACUAUAACCCAUGGUAAUAUGUCUCUAUACCUAACACACAGCCCAAUAUAACCCAUGGUAAUUUGUCACUUUACCCGACACACAGCCCACUAUAACCCAUGAUAAUAUGUCUCUAUACCUGACACACAGCCCACUAUAACCCAUGGUAAUACGUCUCUAUACCCAACACACAGCCCACUAUAACCCAUGGUAAUACGUCUCUAUACCCGACACACAGCCCACUAUAACCCAUGUUAAUAUGUCUCUAUACCUAACACACAACCCACUAUAACCCAUGGUAAUAUGUCUCUAUACCUAACACACAGCCCACUAUAACCCAUGGUAAAAUGUCUCUAUACCUAACACACAGCACACUAUAACCCAUGGUAAUAUGUCUCUAUACCUAACAAACAGCCCACUAUAACCCAUGUUAAAAUGUCUAUAUACCUAACACACAGCCCGCUAUAACCCAUGGUAAUAUGUCUCUAUACCCGACACACAGCACACUAUAACCCAUUGUAAUAUGUGUCUAAAUCUAACACACAGCCCACUAUAACCCAUGGUAAUAUGUCUCU
rnacentral:lncRNA from 1 species